rnacentral:lncRNA from 10 species
GCACUGCACCCUACAUUUUACGUGAUGAACUGGGGGCUCACAUAGGAAAUGACUAGCCUAAGAUGGCAGAGCAAGAACUGGAUCCUGGAUUGGAAUGCAUUGAGCAUGUGGCUCUAUCCUGAGGGUGGAGGUCUAGGGGGCCGGGAGAACUUGACAAUGGAUUUAGUCCACCUGGAAUCAGUGUUCUGCUGCCUCCUCGGGGACCAGAGCUGCUCUCCUCCUCAUGUGUCCAGUCCUGGUGGGACAGCCUUCUACGGCGCUGUCCCCAGAGAUCUCAGACAGGUAAUGGGAGACAGUGUUGCUGAAUGGUUAGGGUGUGGGAUCUGGAGUCCACCUUCCAGCCUUACGCUCCCUGGCUGUGUGACUUUGGGCAAGUGACUUGACCUCUCUGGGUCUCUGUUUCCAUAUAGGUAAAAGGAGGAUGAUAAUGAUAAUACUGAAGAUUGAAUGAAUGAAUGAAGAAAUGUCAAGUGUUUGGUGUCAGGCCUCCCUGUGUGUCAAGAACUCAGAGCUGGAUUUCCUCAAGUGCUCAAUCUUCAGAUGCCUCAGCCCUCCCCGAGCCCUGACCACAAGCCAAAUGGCGCUGGACCACAGUAUCAGGGUUCUCCAGCGACUCCAUCCUCCAGGGAGGAAGAGGUGGUGAAUUUCCGAGCUGGGACAGAACCCAGAGUGGCUGGAGCAGGCCAGCACCUCGCCUCAUAUACUUGGAGCCUGGAGACAUCAGGCAGCAAAUGAGAAGCAUUUUAAGGAAAAUAGAUCCUUGAACCAGGACACCA